CUUCGGCUCCCGCUAUCGGAUGAGCCUAUGUCGGAUUAGCUAGUUGGUGAGGUAACGGCUCACCAAGGCCACGAUCCGUAGCUGGUCUGAGAGGAUGAUCAGCCACAUCGGGACUGAGACACGGCCCGAACUCCUACGGGAGGCAGCAGUGGGGAAUAUUGGACAAUGGGGGGAACCCUGAUCCAGCCAUGCCGCGUGUGUGAAGAAGGCCCUCGGGUUGUAAAGCACUUUCAGCGAGGAAGAACGCCUAGCGGUUAAUACCCGCUAGGAAAGACAUCACUCGCAGAAGAAGCACCGGCUAACUCCGUGCCAGCAGCCGCGGUAAUACGGAGGGUGCAAGCGUUAAUCGGAAUUACUGGGCGUAAAGCGCGCGUAGGUGGCUUGAUAAGCCGGUUGUGAAAGCCCCGGGCUCAACCUGGGAACGGCAUCCGGAACUGUCAAGCUAGAGUGCAGGAGAGGAAGGUAGAAUUCCCGGUGUAGCGGUGAAAUGCGUAGAGAUCGGGAGGAAUACCAGUGGCGAAGGCGGCCUUCUGGACUGACACUGACACUGAGGUGCGAAA
rnacentral:rRNA from 1 species